GGCGUUGUAGCUCAGCUGGGAGAGCAGCAGACUGAAGAGACUGGCGAGUUUCCGGCAACAGAAAUUGGCCGGUCGGAGCAACAUCUGAAGGUCCUGUGUUCAAUCCACAGUAAUGCCA